rnacentral:rRNA from 1 species
UGAGGAAUUUUGCGCAAUGGAGGAAACUCUGACGCAGCGACGCCUCGUGAAUGAUGAAGUCUUUCGGGAUGUAAAGUUCUGUCAGUGGGGACGAUAAUGACGGUACCCACAGAGGAAGCACCGGCUAACUACGUGCCAGCAGCCGCGGUAAUACGUAGGGUGCGAGCGUUAUCCGGAAUUAUUGGGCGUAAAGGGUGCGUAGGCGGUUGGAUAAGUUAGGUGUGAAAGCUAUAGGCUCAACCUGUAGUUGCGCCUAAAACUAUCCAGCUAGAGGAUACUAGAGGAAAGCGGAACUCAUGGUGUAGCGGUGAAAUGCGUAGAUAUCAUGAGGAACACCAGUAGCGAAGGCGGCUUUCUGGGGUAUUUCUGACGCUGAGGCACGAAAGCAUGGGGAGCAAACAGG